UACGAAGGGGGCUAGCGUUGUUCGGAAUUACUGGGCGUAAAGGGCGCGUAGGCGGUCUGUUAAGCGUGAAGUGAAAUCUCCAGGGCUCAACCCGGAAACUGCUUUGCGAACUGGCAGACUAGAGGAAGGUAGAGGUAAGUGGAAUUCCCGGUGUAGCGGUGACAUGCAUUGAUACCGGGAGGAACACCCAUGGCGAAGGCAGCUUACUGGACCUUAUCUGACGCUGAGGCGCGAAAGCGUGGGUAGCAAACAGG
rnacentral:rRNA from 1 species